rnacentral:rRNA from 1 species
UACGUAGGGUGCGAGCGUUGUCCGGAAUUACUGGGCGUAAAGAGCUCGUAGGUGGUUUGUCACGUCGUCUGUGAAAUUCCGGGGCUUAACCUCGGGAGUGCAGGCGAUACGGGCAAUACUUGAGUGCUGUAGGGGAGACUGGAAUUCCUGGUGUAGCGGUGAAAUGCGCAGAUAUCAGGAGGAACACCAAUGGCGAAGGCAGGUCUCUGGGCAGUUACUGACGCUGAGGAGCGAAAGCAUGGGUAGCGAACAGGAUUAGA